UUUAUUUCAUGCUUCGGGAUUAGUCUCUGCAGCACUAUGUAGCUCCUCUUAUAUAGGAAUCAUACAUCUUUAGCACCAUUUUCGUACCCUCUCGAUUCAUCACUCUAGAUUUUCACUUCAUGUGAAAAUGAAAACAUAUUUACAUAGAAUCUCGACAUAUUCCUGUCGGGACCCCGAUCCUAAGCCGUAGGAAUCCAGCCUGUAACACAUCGCAUCCCUUUGCGGUCUCAC
rnacentral:lncRNA from 1 species